UAAUACGAGGGGGGCUAGCGUUGUCCGGAUUUAUUGGGCGUAAAGAGUUCGUAGGCUGGUCAGUCAGUCGAAAUUGAAAUCCCACGGCUUAACCGUGGACCCGGUUUCGAUACUGCUGAUCUUGAGUGAGACAGAGGUAAGCGGAAUUCCUGGUGUAGCGGUGAAAUGCGUAGAUAUCAGGAGGAACACCGAAGGCGAAGGCAGCUUACUGGGUCUAUACUGACGCUGAGGAACGAAAGCGUGGGGAGCAAACAGGAUUAGAGACCCUGGUAGUCCACGCUGUAAACGAUGAGUACUUGGUGGUGGGGGAUUCGACCCCUUCACUGUCGGAGCUAACGCGUUAAGUACUCCGCCUGGGGACUACGACCGCAAGGUUG
rnacentral:rRNA from 1 species